UACGUAGGGACCAAGCGUUGUUCGGAUUUACUGGGCGUAAAGGGCGCGUAGGCGGCGCGGUAAGUCACUUGUGAAAUCUCUGAGCUUAACUCAGAACGGCCAAGUGAUACUGCUGUGCUAGAGUGCAGAAGGGGCAAUCGGAAUUCUUGGUGUAGCGGUGAAAUGCGUAGAUAUCAAGAGGAACACCUGAGGUGAAGGCGGGUUGCUGGGCUGACACUGACGCUGAGGCGCGAAAGCCAGGGGAGCAAACGGG
rnacentral:rRNA from 1 species